ACACUUGGAUUGAUGUAAUUGAUUAGUCCCCUCCCCCCAAAUUUCAGGCCUUGUGCCUUCAGUGGAAAGGAUUAUCAUUAUCAUCAGUAAGGGAUGUGGAUUGGCAGAAUUGGUAGAGCAUCAGAAAAAAUAUGCUUUGUAAUAUAUGUUCUGGUUCUUUGCAUUCUGAAUUCAAAUUUCACCGAGGUCAACUUUACCUUUCAUCCAUUCUGCCUAAAAAGAUAUCAUCAUCACCGUCAUUUAUUAUUAGGACAGUUUAAUGUCCAAGACAGAAUGUCACUCUAAAAUGCUUGACGGUGUUUAAUAUCCACAUUCUGAGUUUUUAAAAAUCUUGUCAUGUUGACUAUUAUUACUACUAUUACUACCACCAAUUAUUUCUAGUACUAAUACUAGAGUAAAAUACCAGUUGAGUACAGGGGUUGAUGGUAUUGACUAACCUCCUUCCUAUUGCUGGCUUUGCACCUAAAUUAGAAACUAGUAAGGCAGCUAGGUAGCAGAAUUGUUACCACGCUGGACAAAAUGCUGUUAAGCAUUUCUUGUUCUGUAUCCGGAUGCCACUGAAGUCAACUUUGCUUUCAUCCUUUUGGGGUCGAUAAAAUAAGUACCAGUUGAGCACUGGGGGUCAAUGUAGCUGACUUCCCUCCUCCUCUCAGUAUUGCUGGCCUUGUGUAUAAAUUAGAAACCAGUAUUAAUAUCAUUAUUAUUAUUUGGAAGGGUGGUGAGUUGGCAGAAUCUUUAGGAUAUUGGACAAAAUGCCUUGUACUGUUUGUUCUGGUUCUUCUUGUGUUCAUAUCCUACCAGUGUCAACUCUGCCUCUCACCCUUCCUGGGUCGAUUAAACAAAGACCCAGUCAAGUUGUGUGGGUUGAUACAAGAAAGGGCGGUGGGUAAGCAGAACUGUUUGCGGCAGACAAAGUGCCAUGUGGUAUUUUGCUGCAACUCAUGCUCUGAGCUCAUCCUGCCAAACUCGAGGUCUUGUGCCUGCGAUAGAAACCAGAGGAAGGCCAGUGAAGGGUCAGAAUUGGUAGAGCAUUGGACAAAAUGAUUUGUCGUAUUUAUUAGUCAAUGUUCCUUCCUCUAUCUACAUUCUGAAUUGAAGCAUCAUCAGGGGUCAAUAUAACCCUUCGACCUUCCGAGAUCAAUGAAAUACACAGUGAAGUAUUGGGUCAGUUUAAUCAACUAUUCCUUCCACCCCGAAACUUGUGGCCUUCUGCCUAAAAAGAUAUUAUCAUCACCGUCAUUUAUUAUUAGGACAGUUUAAUGUCCAAGACAGAAUGUCACUCUAAAUGUUUGACGGUGUUUAAUAUCUACAUUCUGAGUUUUAAAAAAUCUUGUCAUGUUGACUAUUAUUACUACUAUUACUACCACCAAUUAUUUCUAGUACUAAUACUACCACUAUUUCUACUACUAUUAUUGUUACUAUUUCUCCAGUUUCCAACCAAUUCCAAGAAAAAAUAUAUAUAUGAAACAAAAUAAAAAAGAACCAUGUUCUAUAAAAAGAAAAAAAAUGUAUUAUAAAUCUUAUGCAACUUCAGGAAAGUGAUAAAAAAAAAAAAUAAACAAAAGCAAGAAUGAUGUUUGAAAACAAAACCCAAAAAAAAGGACAAUGAACUUGUUCAAGAACUUCUGUAAAAUGUCUACAAAAAUAUUUCACGUUGUCUCAGUA